ACUGGGCUGGAUGGGAUCUUUGGUCUGACCCAGUAUGGCCGUUCUUAUAUUCUUAUGAGUGAUGCACGCAUGCCACAGUCCGACCCCUCCCUCCUCAGUUCCUUCUUGCUUGAACUCUGACAGAGGGGAGGAGGCCAAAUGGACAUGAGCAACAUCUCAAAGAACAGACCAGGUAACUCUUGUUUCUUCUUUGAGUGCUUGCUCAAGUCCAUUCAGCAGAGAUGACUGGAUCAGUGUCUGCGGAGGGGGGUGGGAUUUACGAGACUGCAGUACAGCCCUGCCAAAUGCACCGUCCUCCCUGGCCUGCUGCGCGAUGGUGUAAUGAAACGUGAGUGUGUGUCCCGACAAAUGUCCUGGAUCGGGACUUGAACAAGAGACUGGGGAUCUCCGACGCAGAGACGGAGCAGGAGGGCUCAGGCUGCGCAUGUGUGGUUCUGAUCUGCAUGGCAAACGCCAUCAGCACCGAACGUGUGUGGCCUGCACAGGAACCACUUCAAAAUCUCUGAUCCAAGUGCCGGGAUAGCGCCAAGACCAGCCAUGGAGCACCCACAGGGCCACGCGUCCCGAAAACAUCCAGACACUGCUCAAGGCACUCUACUGUGACGGUCCCCAGGAUCUGGGCGGCAGACCAGCUGGAACUGCUUCCUAAG